UUGUGCCCAGUAUCCUCUUAGAGCAAGGAAAGGCUAAGAACCCCUGGCCCAACGUAGAUGCUCACAGUGGAGUGCUGCUUCAGCACUACGGCAUGACGGAGAUGAAUUACUACACAGUCCUGUUUGGAGUGUCGAGGGCACUGGGUGUGCUAGCCCAGCUCAUCUGGAGCAGAGCCCUAGGCUUCCCUCUAGAAAACCCCAAGUCCAUGAGCACAGAUGGUCUGAUAAAGUUUGUGGACUCUAAGUCAGGGUAAAAUGGGAGAUUGGGGAGGAGGGGGCUGGGAAACUGACUAUAAGAAAAUGAGGAAGUUUAAAAAUAAAGUAUAAUUUUGUUUUGUUUCGGGGGCCUUUAAGACUUAAGAUUACACUGAAUCUGAGGCAUUAGAAAUACAUUUGAAGUCAAAAUAUAAAUUAACACUUGAAAGGCAAAAUGACCCCUUUUCCCCUCACCAGUUCACUUCCCCUUCCUGGUAUGAGUUGCCCACUGGCUGUAGGAUGACCAGGACUGAUGCAUGUGGUCAGGGUUAGAUCUGGCUACCCACCCUCUCUAGAG
rnacentral:lncRNA from 1 species